rnacentral:rRNA from 1 species
AUUGAACGCUGGCGGCAGGCCUAACACAUGCAAGUCGAACGAGUGGCGGACGGGUGAGUAAUGUCGGGGAAACUGCCUGAUGGAGGGGGAUAACUACUGGAAACGGUAGCUAAUACCGCAUACCAUCAGCUGUGCCCAGAUGGGAGUAGCUUGUUGGUGGGGUAACGGCUCACCAAGGCGACGAUCCCUAGAUGGUCUGAGAGGAUGACCCGCUACACUGGAACAGAGACACGGUCCAGAUUCCGACGGUAGGCAGCAGUGGGGAAGAUUGCACAAUGGGCGCAAGCCUGAUGCAGCCAUGUCGCGUGUAUGAUGAAGGCCUCCGGGUUGUAAAGUACUUUCAGCGGGGCGGCGGUACCGGCAGAAGAAGAACCGGCUAACUCCGUGCCAGCAGCCGCGGUAAUAC